GUGUGAUGUUGCUGUACUAGUAAAGAGAGAGAGAGUGGAGAGAGAGAGAGUGGAGAGAGAGGGGGGGUAAAGGAGAUGUUGUCAGAGUGUGAUGUUGCUAUACUAGUAAAGAGAGAGAGUGGAGAGAGAGAGAGUGGAGAGAGAGAGGGGGGGUAAAGGAGAUGUUGUCAGAGUGUGAUGUUGCUAUACUAGUAAAGAGAGAGAGAGUGGAGAGAGAGAGGGGGGUAAAGGAGAUGUUGUCAGAGUGUGAUGUUGCUGUACUAGUAAAAAGAGAGAGAGUGGAGAGAGAGAGUGGAGAGAGAGGGGGGGUAAAGGAGAUGUUGUCAGAGUGUGAUGUUGCUAUACUAGUAAAGAGAGAGAGGGGGUGGAGAGAGAGAGUGGAGAGAGAGGGGGGGUAAAGGAGAUGUUGUAAGAGUGUGAUGUUGCUAUACUAGUAAAGGGGAGAGAGAGAGAGUG
rnacentral:lncRNA from 1 species